rnacentral:rRNA from 1 species
GACGAACGCUGGCGGCGUGCUUAACACAUGCAAGUCGAACGGAGUUACGUAUGAAGUAUUUCGGUACGGACUACAUAACUUAGUGGCGAACGGGUGAGUAACACGUGGGCAACCUGCCCUUAACCGGGGGAUAACAUUGUGAAAACAGUGCUAAUACCGCAUAACAGAGUAUCGGGCAUCCGAUAUUUUAAAAGGAGCAAUCCGGUUUAGGAUGGGCCCGCGUCCAAUUAGCUAGUUGGUGAGGUAACGGCUCACCAAGGCUACGAUUGGUAGCCGAACUGAGAGGUUGAUCGGCCACAUUGGGACUGAGACACGGCCCAGACUCCUACGGGAGGCAGCAGUGGGGAAUAUUGGGCAAUGGGCGAAAGCCUGACCCAGCGACGCCGCGUGAAGGAUGAAGGUCUUCGGAUUGUAAACUUCUUUGAUCAGGGAAGAAAGAAAUGACGGUACCUGAAGAACAAGCCACGGCUAACUACGUG